rnacentral:rRNA from 1 species
UACGUAGGUGGCAAGCGUUAUCCGGAUUUACUGGGUGUAAAGGGCGUGUAGGCGGGAAAGCAAGUCAGAUGUGAAAACCAUGGGCUCAACCUGUGGCCUGCAUUUGAAACUGUUUUUCUUGAGUGCUGGAGAGGCAAUCGGAAUUCCGUGUGUAGCGGUGAAAUGCGUAGAUAUACGGAGGAACACCGGUGGCGAAGGCGGCCUGCUGGACCGUGAAUGACGCUGAGGCUCGAAAGCGUGGGGAGCAAACAGG